rnacentral:rRNA from 1 species
AUCGAACGCUGGCGGCAUGCCUUACACAUGCAAGUCGAACGGUAACGCGGGGCAACCUGGCGACGAGUGGCGAACGGGUGAGUAAAGUAUCGGAACGUGCCCAGUAGUGGGGGAUAGCCCGGCGAAAGCCGGAUUAAUACCGCAUGAGACCUGGGGGUGAAAGCGGGGGAUCGCAAGACCUCGCGCUAUUGGAGCGGCCGAUAUCAGAUUAGGUAGUUGGUGGGGUAAAGGCCUACCAAGCCGACGAUCUGUAGCUGGUCUGAGAGGACGACCAGCCACACUGGGACUGAGACACGGCCCAGACUCCUACGGGAGGCAGCAGUGGGGAAUUUUGGACAAUGGGCGCAAGCCUGAUCCAGCCAUGCCGCGUGCGGGAAGAGGGCCUUCGGGUUGUAAACCGCUUUUGUCAGGGAAGAAAUCUUCUGGGCUAAUACCUCGGGAGGAUGACGGUACCUGAAGAAUAAGCACCGGCUAACUUCGUGCCAGCAGCCGCCGUAAUAC